rnacentral:rRNA from 1 species
UACGGGGGGGGCAAGCGUUGUUCGGAAUUACUGGGCGUAAAGGGCUCGUAGGCGGCCAACUAAGUCGGAUGUGAAAUCCCCAAGCUUAACUUGGGAACUGCAUCCGAUACUGGAUGGCUUGAAUCCGGGAGAGGGAUGCAGAAUUCCAGGUGUAGCGGUGAAAUGCGUAGAUAUCUGGAGGAACACCGGUGGCGAAGGCGGCGUUCUGGACUGCAACUGACACUGAGGAACGAAAGCCAGGGGAGCAAACGGG